GGUAUGAAUUCAGCAAGCUGGUAGAAUGUUUGUAUUCCUAAUUUUAAAGUGUUCCUUUAAUUUAUCUUAGGAUGUUUGAUUUCCCUUGUGCAUACCUUUUAUAGAUGGUAUCACAGGAAUAAAACCUGUAGGUUGUGCACCAAACACAGAAGUUGGGGAAAUCAGCAGGAAAACUCUGCAAAGGUUAUGACAAAACUGUUGAGCUGGAAAAAUACUUGAGUGGGAUAAACUUAGCUGUGUAAUUCCGUAGUCAAUCCUAUAUAGUCUCGAUUUAUUGGAGAUACCUGCUUUUCAAGCCAUUUCCUCCCAGCAACACAAGCACUUUGGUUCAUUUUUAUUAAAAGCAAU